rnacentral:ribozyme from 1 species
UGCCCAGCAACUCCUAUCUCUACCUCCUCGCGGUACUGGCCGGGGUACGAGUAACCUUAGGGAAGAUCGGGUAACCAACCCCCGGUGGGAACUUUGGUCGUAUGCUGACAGGGAAGG